UGGGUUUGACAUCACCCGGAAACCCUCAGAGAUGGGGGCCUCUUCGGACUGGGUGACAGGUGGUGCAUGGCUGUCGUCAGCUCGUGUCGUGAGAUGUUGGGUUAAGUCCCGCAACGAGCGCAACCCUUAUCCCGUGUUGCCAGCAAGUAGUGUUGGGGACUCGCGGGAUACUGCCGGGGUUAACUCGGAGGAAGGUGGGAUGACGUAACUUACAGCGUAC
rnacentral:misc_RNA from 1 species